rnacentral:rRNA from 1 species
GACGAACGCUGGCGGCGUGCCUAACACAUGCAAGUCGAACGGAAAGGCCCUGCUUGCAGGGUACUCGAGUGGCGAACGGGUGAGUAACACGUGGGUGAUCUGCCCUGCACUUCGGGAUAAGCCUGGGAAACUGGGUCUAAUACCGGAUAGGAGCCAUUUUUAGUGUGAUGGUUGGAAAGUUUUUUCGGUGUAGGAUGAGCUCGCGGCCUAUCAGCUUGUUGGUGGGGUAAUGGCCUACCAAGGCGGCGACGGGUAGCCGGCCUGAGAGGGUGGACGGCCACAUUGGGACUGAGAUACGGCCCAGACUCCUACGGGAGGCAGCAGUGGGGAAUAUUGCACAAUGGGCGCAAGCCUGAUGCAGCGACGCCGCGUGGGGGAUGACGGCCUUCGGGUUGUAAACUCCUUUCGCUAGGGACGAAGCUUUUUGCGACGGUACCUAGAGAAGAAGCACCGGCUAACUACGUG